rnacentral:lncRNA from 1 species
UUACACCAAAAACUGAGAAACGAGGCACUUCUUUAUUCAUCAAGCGAUGAACAGACAUGUCAGAUAGUUAGCAAAACAUCAAAAAUCCUAUCAGAUCUCUGAAUGUGAGACCAGCACAUAGCAUGCACUAUAUUUAAAAACAAAUCUCAUGAAACCACAUGCAGGGAAGCACCAACAUAAUACACAAAUAAAUUGAGAGUUUUAAAUAAACAACAGCCUCGCAAUAUACUCAGUCGCAC